rnacentral:rRNA from 1 species
GUCUGUAGCCAUGCCACCCCGAACAAGCCCGAUCCUAUCUGAUCUCGGAAGCUAAGCAGGGUCGGGCCUGGUUAGUACUUGGGAGACCACAUAGGAAGACCAGGUGCUGUAGGCA